UACGGGGGGGGUAAGCGUUGUUCGGAAUUACUGGGCGUAAAGGGCUCGUAGGCGGCCAACUAAGUCAGACGUGAAAUCCCUCAGCUUAACUGGGGAACUGCGUCUGAUACUGGAUGGCUUGAGUGCGGGAGAGGGAUGUGGAAUUCCAGGUGUAGCGGUGAAAUGCGCAGAUAUCAGGAGGAACACCGGUGGCGAAGGCGGCAUCCUGGACCGGUAUUGACGCUGAGGCGCGAAAGCUAGGGGAGCAAACGGG
rnacentral:rRNA from 1 species